rnacentral:rRNA from 1 species
AUUGAACGCUGGCGGCAUGCUUUACACAUGCAAGUCGAACGGCAGCGCGGGCUUCGGCCUGGCGGCGAGUGGCGAACGGGUGAGUAAUACAUCGGAACGUGCCCAGUAGUGGGGGAUGGCUCGGCGAAGGCCGGAUUAAUACCGCAUACGACCUGAGGGUGAAAGCGGGGGAUCUUCGGACCUCGCGCUAUUGGAGCGGCCGAUGGCAGAUUAGCUAGUUGGUGGGGUAAAGGCCUACCAAGGCGACGAUCUGUAGCUGGUCUGAGAGGACGACCAGCCACACUGGGACUGAGACACGGCCCAGACUCCUACGGGAGGCAGCAGUGGGGAAUUUUGGACAAUGGGCGAAAGCCUGAUCCAGCAAUGCCGCGUGUGUGAUGAAGGCCUUCGGGUUGUAAAGCACUUUUGGCGGGAACGAAAAGGACUGUGCCAAUACCACGGUUCGAUGACGGUACCCGCAGAAUAAGCACCGGCUAACUACGUG